CGGGGCGUAGCGCAGCCCGGUAGCGCACCAGUUUUGGGAACUGGUGGUCGCAGGUUCAAAUCCUGUCGCCCCGACCA
rnacentral:tRNA from 1 species